rnacentral:lncRNA from 1 species
UAGCCUUGGAGAAAAUAGAAGUAUAGCAGCUCACACAGUGGUUCUUCUAAUGAGGAAAUGAGGGGGGGAACUAGAAAUCUUAUGGACAUCAUUGAAUAAUUAUAAUUCACAAAAGUUACUUUAUAUUUAGUAUCAUGCUCUUGUUUAUUGUUUAAUAAUAUUAGUCUAUAAAGAUAUAAUAAUAGCUCCCCUGGCUGUUAAGCCAAUAAUUUGGUAUUUUGGUUACUCUUCCUUUUCUUUCGGGUUGCUGUCUUUAAGUUUUCUGAUGUGUGCCAAGAGCUUCUUAUAUUUAUGGUUCUAAAAGAAACACAUUCUUAUUUGAAACUGGUGUAUUUAUUUUCUGAAAUGUGUUAUGCUUAGUAUUCCUAUAAAAACUCACCCUUUUUAUUGGAUUUCUUAUCACAUACGCGCACUAAAAAAAGAAUCUUUGUUAUAAUAUAUUUCGCUAGAAAAUGACAACAAAAUUAAUGAUUCGAUUCCUGUGAGUGAUACUUGUUGGGACGAACAGUCAUACACAAGUGAUGAGAUUAGUUCCUCAACCCAUCUUGUAGUUUGAGGUGCAUUAAUUUCACAUGUAGUGUGAGAAGAGUCAUAAUUAGACUGUCAUAGUUUGCGAAUCACUACUUUUUUCCACAGAUAAUUAUACUGGCUAAUUAGUUUCACAAGAAGUUCGAUUCACACACCCAAACCUGUACAUGCACAACAACGCAUAGAAUAGUGCCAAAACUUGGUAAAAAAAAAUUAAAUUUAUGAAAUUCCAAAAAAUGAUAUCUAUAUUGUAUGUUUUUUAUAUAACAUAUUACAAUUUACAAAUGUGUUAACUAUGCUAUGUAAGUUCGUUUUAUAGAAAGAUAAAAAGAUGUAUGUAUGAAUAAUGCUGAUGAUUUUUAUAAUGUCAUUAUCAUCUAAUAUUAAUAUGGAUUUACCCUAAACCCUAUACAAUGACAGUUUAAAUAUUUUUUACACCGCGGUAAAUCAUUCAUUAUUGAUUUAUUAAUUACAAUUAACUCUCAAAUAAAAGUAAUACAAAUUAACAUGAUGAUGUGCUAACAGUAUAAAAAACUUUAUACUGUCCAGUGCAUAGAUUUUAAACUCUAUUAAUAUUUGAUUAUUAUUAACCUUAACAAUAUAAAUAAUAUAAAUGAAACACUUUAAAGUAAGUUUGUUGACGGAUUUGUGCUUAAAAUCAGUUUGGAUUUAAUAUGUAUAGAAUAAUAGUACAAAUGUUUUUUUAUACUAUCAAAAAAUCAUACAAAUUAAUUAUGAAUAUGAAUGAAUUAUUGCCAAUAUAAACAAUUUUUUUAAUGCAUAGAUUUUUAACUUAAUAAUUUUAUAUUAUUAAAUGACAAAAAGUUUUAAUGGACCAAUAAAGCCCAUGGGGCCCAUAACAGAAUCCCUAAGUGGUAGAGAAGUAUAUUAUAAAAUCAUGGAGGAAGGGGAAUUUAGGGUUUUGUGCAGCAAAGGGAGUGGUCGAAGAUCUUUCUAUCUUUGCAAUCAUGGUAUCUGAACUAAAUUCAACUCCAUCUUCUUCUAAUUUCUUUCUUUCAUGAAUACAAAUUCGUAUUAGUUUGUAGUUUUUGAUUUGAAUAAUGCAUAUUGUUUCAGAUCAUUUCCGAGAAGAACCGUAAAGAGAUCUCCAAAUACCUCUUUCAAGGUAAGGCUUCUUCAUUCUGUCUUCUAUUUUGUUUAUCAAAACUGUUAAUAAGAUCUUCUUAGAUUAACAAGAUUAGCUAUAAUGUUUAUUCAUUUAACUUUUCACUGUAGCUGAAAAAGCUUUUUUCAUAAGUGUCCCGGUUAUUUAUUGAAAUUAGAUGAAAAUAGCUUACGUUAACGGCAUAAUCUAUUUUAAAAAGCUGCAUUUUGUAUUGGAAAAAAGCUUAAUCGAGAGAUUAUAUUUAAACUUUUUUGAAAUAAUGUAGAAAGACAUUGAGAUUAGCUGAAAGUGCUUAUUGUUAGGCUACUAGUUACUACCGAUUUUCAUUAUCUGUUCUUGUGAGUUCAAAUUAGAUUUCGUCCCUCUCUUCCAAUUUUCCACUAAUUGCUGAAAAUUUCUUAUCGUAAAGAGGGAGUUUGCUAUGCGAAGAAGGACUUCAAUCUAGCAAAGCACCCGGAGAUAGAUGUGCCGAAUCUCCAAGUGAUUAAGUUGAUGCAGAGUUUCAAGUCAAAGGAAUAUGUGAGGGAGACAUUUGCUUGGAUGCACUAUUACUGGUUCCUCACCGAGUCCAUUAAUCACCCUAGGACUGGUAUAUGUUUAUGGACAUACAUCAAAGUUGCUUAACAUUAUAUAAGUGGGGUUAUGCAUUGUUGUGACAGUAAGAAAAUAGCUAUAACUUUUGGUCUAAUUAGUUACCCCAAGUUAGUAGCGCAUAGAUGCUCAAAUGUUUUUACCCUUUAUCUUCAAAAGUCAAAACCUAUAAACUUAACAGAAGAUAAAUAUGUAAUACUACCAGAUAUUUUAUCAAACAUUUUCUAAUAUAUGUUGUGCUACUCUACAGGUAAGGCUUAUGCAUGAAGCAGGUUAUGAUAUUGGAAACUUAGAUGCUACAUUGAUACUUCAAAGGCCAAAGCUAAGCCCACACAAAGAUACUAUCAAAGCCAACUUAGCUACACUGCUUGGAGUUGACCCUUCUAUUGUAAAUAUCAAAGCAAAAACUCAUGAAAAGGUAGAUAGCCUUGGAGAAAAUAGAAGUAUAGCAGCUCACACAGUGGUUCUUCUAAUGAGGAAAUGAGGGGGGGAACUAGAAAUCUUAUGGACAUCAUUGAAUAAUUAUAAUUCACAAAAGUUACUUUAUAUUUAGUAUCAUGCUCUUGUUUAUUGUUUAAUAAUAUUAGUCUAUAAAGAUAUAAUAAUAGCUCCCCUGGCUGUUAAGCCAAUAAUUUGGUAUUUUGGUUACUCUUCCUUUUCUUUCGGGUUGCUGUCUUUAAGUUUUCUGAUGUGUGCCAAGAG